rnacentral:lncRNA from 1 species
GACCUAAUUUCCCCAAGGCCCAGAUUACAAAAAAAUAAAACAAAAAUUUUAGCCAAAAAAUCAAAAGUCCAUUGCAGCAGUCCAUUUACAAAAAAAAAAUCAGGCCCAAAUUUAAAAACCUAAAGGCUCAGUGGCCCAAACUAUUUCAGAAUAGCCAGAAACCCCAGGGUUUUUGGCGCCACUUCUCUCACGCCGCCUCCUAUCCCUUCGCAAGCACGCCGCCCGAGGCUUUUCGUCUCUACCAUCGUCAUUGUCAAUCACCACCUGCAAAAAAAAAGAAAAAAAAAGGGCAGAAGAAGCGUAAUAACAUGCAAGAAACAGUACGAAACAAUAGAAAAAAAUAGAAAAAUAAUAUUGAAAUUCGGCUAUAAAAAGUCUGAAAACAAAUUGAACAAGGAGGUUUUUUUUUGAAAAAAAACAGAUAUCGAAUACAAAAAGAACAAUCAACA